rnacentral:rRNA from 1 species
UACGUAGGGGGCAAGCGUUGUCCGGAAUCAUUGGGCGUAAAGAGCGUGUAGGCGGCUCGGUAAGUCCGCUGUGAAAGUCCAGGGCUCAACCCUGGAAUGCCGGUGGAAACUGUCGAGCUAGAGUCCGGAAGAGGCGAGUGGAAUUCCUGGUGUAGCGGUGGAAUGCGCAGAUAUCAGGAGGAACACCGAUGGCGAAGGCAGGUCUCUGGGCCGCAACUGACGCUGAGGAGCGAAAGCAUGGGGAGCGAACAGG